rnacentral:piRNA from 1 species
AAAAGAUUGUGUUUUCCCGGUAGAAG